rnacentral:lncRNA from 1 species
AAUAAAUUGAUUCAUAUAAUUAAUCAAGGCAAGGAGUUCCUAUUUCUUUUUCAAUAAUCAAAGUUGGGCAAAAAUAUUUUAUUUCAUACAUACAUCAUAAAACUUCUUAUUAUAAUCUAAGUAUUUUAUACAUAUAUAUAUAUAUAUAUAUAUAUAUAUAUAUAUAUAUAUAUAACAUAUGUGUGUGUAAAGUGUGUAAAGUGUAAGCAUACAUGUGCUGGCAAUUAAAACUGUGUGUGAGACAUUCUUUUGGGGACUUAAAACCGCGUGAGGCACGUGCUAGCAUUGUCAAAUUUAGCAUUAAAUGAUAAGUUGAUAAAAUUUCGACUGGGUGGAAUUACAAGCUCCCACGCGUAAAAAAUCUGGACCGUUCAACUCAAAAAGUAAUCAUCUGAACCGUGCAUUCAAAAUUAGAUUUCUAAAAUUACAUUUUUGCCCCCGACUUCAAAAAUCUAUAAAUAGGGAGUAUUUCAUUCAUUUGGUUUUUACCAAUUCAGUGAAAAGCAAAGUAUACUCUCCUUGUCUACAUUCUCUCUAAAAAGCUUUAUAUCUCUUCUUACUAAAGUUCUGAAUUUUUGAAGAGAAAAUUGGUCCAAGUUUUGAGAUAAAUCAUUUGAGUUCAACUUCUGUUGAGUUAUUUC